UACCGUGAGGGAAAGUUGAAAAGAACUUUGAAGAGAGAGUUCAAUAGUACGUGAAACCGUUUAGGGGUAAACGGAAAAGAACUAAAAAUCCGAAAAGGGAGAUUCACGUCCACACGGUAUUUUGACUUCAAUGAUAUAUGAUGACUAGUGGAUUGUGCCAUGUGUACAUUACUGCUAAUUGCAUUUAUCUUGUUCAACAAGUAACGGUGGACCGCACUUCUCCCUAAGUAGGACGUCGCGACCCGCUAACUUAUAAUCUAUGUGCAAAUUAAAAGUCUGUUCUGAAAUAAUUUUAUAUUAUUCAGUCAGGUGGUUUGUUUUCUGAUUAUAAUUAGUUGGCGGUAUAAAACGGCAGUGGUGAACCGCUUAUAAAGCGUUUAACAAAUGCUAUUUAGUUGUUCUAAUAAUUGAUAAUAAAUGGUUUAUACCUUUAUUUGAUAUAUUGUCAACUAUAUUAGUUUUGAAUUAAACAGUGUUCACAACACUAGUCAGCGGCGCUACAGUUUUAGUAACUUUUCCGA
rnacentral:rRNA from 1 species